rnacentral:lncRNA from 1 species
AUGGGUAGAAGAGAAAGUUUUUGGCUUGUCCUAGAGUGUCGAGAAUCCAAGAUCUUUAACGUUUCAUAAGAUAAAUUACUUAUUCGGGCAUAGCAUGCCUUAUUAAAAUUCCAUUUAUAUACAAGUUCACAUACCUCACGGGAGAUCACUCAACACUCGGCCGAAGGUGUAAUUUUUAGUGAAUCACUCGAGAGCGGCAUGGAACUUACGCCUUCCAUAGGCUUGCCAAGCAAUCAAUCCUCCUCCUUUUUAACUUUUUACCUUUGUAAAUAUCAAGAGGACUUUUUGGGUGAAGGGUUAGGCUUGGGUUAAAGGUGGGUGGUUGGGUUAGUGGUUAGUAAAAGGGCGAAAAUCGUAAAAAGCGUCGGUUUUCGUGACAUACCUUGUUUUUAGUGACUUUUUAUUUUGAAGUAUUUCUACAAACAAGCUUUUAUAUAGCUUUUGUUUGUUUUUGACUUCAUCAUCAUUUUUUUUUAAGUCACAUAAAAUGGCGAGCUUACGAAAAACCGAGCUUGUUACUAAAAUAAAGAGUGAAAAAUAAAAAAGGGUUUUUGGUGGGUAAAAAGGGUUUUGGGGUAAUGAAAUGAAAGGUUUAGGCUCAAAGGGGCUAACUAGGGGGAUUUUAGGUAG